GGAGGAGAGGAGGAGGAGUGGUGGAUAGGAGAGGGGUUGAAGAGGAGAUGGGAGAAGAAGAGAGACGAGGAAAAAAGUCAGGAAUGUUUUAAACCUCCCCAGUGUCUGAACUGAUACAAGAGGAGAGGUUGGUAUAGAACCAACACAGCCUGUAUCUAGGAAGGUCUAUAUAGCCUAGUUCUACGUUAGUAUAGAGCCGACCAACAGCCUUUAUAUAUAUAUAUAUAAUUGUCAGAGCUCAGCUUCCUCAUAUCCCAAUGGGCGUGUUUGUCUACGAGGCUGAUAUUGGGAUAAAGUACAGUCCUAACAGGAUGAGAGACAACAGACAGCCUAGUGGAAACACUGAGGACAGAAGAAGCUUCGUGUGUGUGUGUGUGUGUGUGUGUGUGUGUGUGAGAGAUCAAGCUGAGCUGUUACUGACCAUCCAGGGCUGACUGGUGGAGUCGUCUCAGCGUAACAGACGCAGGUCUGAAGGAUCUCUGAGAGACACAGACAGAAAACAGCAUAAUAUCAAACCACAGCUUGCUGUUGCAUAUGAGUUACUGAAUGACAGGUUCACAGUGUGAAUCAAAACAUGAAACAUUGAUGUAGGCUCUCUUCCUUGGUUACUAAGGCACAAUACUAUGCCAGAUACUGAGCCAGAGGGUAACAAUACUAUGCCAGAUACUGAGCCAGAGGGUAACAAUACUAUGCCAGAUACUGAGCCAGAGGGUAACAAUACUAUGCCAGAUACUGAGCCAGAGGGUAACAAUACUCUGCCAGAUACUGAGCCAGAAACAUGGUAGCAGACCAACAUGGCUCAACAUGCCACAGACAGGUUUCUAGGUCUCUAACCUCUAACCUCUAACCUCUACGAAUGUACUGACAGGUUUCUAGUUAUCUAACCUCUAACCUGUAACCUCUACGAAUGUACUGACAGGUUUCUAGUUAUCUAACCUCUAACCUCUAACCUCUACUAAUGUACUGACAGGUUUCUAGGUCUCUAAACUCUAACCUCUACUAAUGUACUGACAGGUUUCUAGUUAUCUAACCCCUAACCUCUACUAAUGUACUGACAGGUUUCUAGUUAUCUAACCCCUAACCUCUACUAAUGUACUGACAGGUUUCUAGUUAUCUAACCCCUAACCUCUACAAAUGUACAGACAGGUUUCUAGGUCUCUAACCUCUAACCUCUACUAAUGUACUGACAGGUUUCUAGUUAUCUAACCCCUAACCUCUACUAAUGUACAGACAGGUUUCUAGGUCUCUAACCUCUAACCUCUACUAAUGUACUGACAGGUUUCUAGGUCUCUAACCUCUAACCUCUAACCUCUACUAAUGUACUGACAGGUUUCUAGGUCUCUAACCUCUAACCUCUAACCUCUACUAAUGUACUGACAGGUUUCUAGGUCUCUAACCUCUAACCUCUACUAAUGUACUGACAGGUUUCUAGGUCUCUAACCUCUAACCUCUACUAAUGUACUGACGGGUUUCUAGUUAUCUAACCCCUAACCUCUACUAAUGUACAGACAGGUUUCUAGGUCUCUAACCUCUAACCUCUACUAAUGUACAGACAGGUUUCUAGGUCUCUAACACAAUGAGGCAGUUGAACAGAAAGAGACCUAUACAUUUCAAACUAAAUAAUUUAAUAUAAGUCUCAUAUACUGUAGGUCAUGCCUGGUGACCAUAUUGACUACAUGACUGAGUCUUACCUGUACUUUGGAGAGCAUGUCUGUCUGUCUGUCUGUUUUUGAUCUCUUCUCUCUGUUUCUCCUCUCUCUGCUUUGUCGGCGUGGGAUCGAUGGAUGGGUGGAUGAUGUAGCGUAGGUAGGGAGGAUGCAGGUUGUCUCUCAGGUGAGCUCUGCCUGUCUUAUAUACUGCAGAAUGGACAAAAGGUCUGAACUGAUAGACAACAGGGAGAGGGCAGGAACUUCCAAAACACCACCUCUACUCCAAUCACAAGCUGAGAUUUUUCCUCCUCAUCAUCAUCAUCAUCAGAAGGAAGUAAUUGACUUCUUAGCAUCACCUCUUCUCUCUCUCAGCCUGACAAUCAUCAUUAUCACCAUCUUAACCACUGCCAGCUGUAGCUAAACCACUGCGCCAUGGCAACCUUGGAUGGUUUUCCCGCCAGUUUCUAUGGGGAGCCGGGGGUGUUGGGUAUGUUGGCCAAUGGGAUCAGUGCGUUCCUGGUUCUACUGCAGAACUUCAACACAGCUAGAACCGGAGUAUCUGCCGAGGGGGUGGAGAACAUUCUGGCAGGUGUUCAUCUCAUCCUGAUAGGUGGAGUGUGUCAGCUGAUUACG